GGGCCGUGCCGGCGUCGCAGUCUCCGGACGACCCGACGCACUUCCUCCCGCCCUCAGGACGCCGUAGCCGGUUGGGUAGCUGCGCGAGUCGGCCAUAAGGACGGGCACCGGAAGGUGGCCAGUGGCGUUCUUCCGGUUCGCCGCUGGUCGUUAUCCAGCCCGCCCGUGGCACGACACCCGACCGAGGUCGCAGGUCCCGGUUAGGACCUUGCCGUCCCCUCCCCUCUGGUCGAGCAGGAACGCUGGCAGGCGCUUCUCGGUUCGGUGGUUCCACUCUCCGAGUGGACCGUCGUCCGGGGACGUUGUUGGCGUGGACGUUUCCUGCGUGGGGUAUUUCCGGCGGCUUACGGCGAGUAGGUCGGUCACCCACCCGACCCGUCUUGAAACACGGACCAAGGAGUCUAACAUGUGCGCGAGUCAUUGGGUCUUGUUCAGGCCCAGAGGCGCAAUGAAAGUGAAGGCCUUCCUCGACGUUGGCCGAGUUGGGACUCUCC
rnacentral:rRNA from 1 species